rnacentral:lncRNA from 13 species
GCAGAGCUGAGAGAAACCUGCGCAGCACAAACGAACAGGGAGAAGAGACAAACAAAACAAGACAGGACAUGAACCACUGUUAGUAAUGAAGCAGGAGGUCACACUCCAACCCAAUGGAGAGGGGGGACAACCUGAAACAGUUUGCCAUCAUAAUGGCUACAUUUAGACAUGCAGCCCAAUUCUAAUAUUUUUUCCACUAAUUAGUUGUUUAAGCAAUCACAGAUCUUUUCACAUCAGAUAUUUUCCAGAGCUGAUCUGAUUUGUCAAAAGACCAAAUAGUGGAAAAAAGAUCAGAAUUGGGCUGCGUGUCUAAACACAGCCAUUGUGGUCCUAAACUGCUUCAUGUUGUCCUGAAAUGGACGUUAAAAGAGGGAAAAGAACACAAAAAAAUGUGCCUGGAGAAUACAGAGAAUACACCUGGUUUCAAUUGAAGUCCAUUCACAUGUAGCAAACUUCCAAAGACAGUCAGUGUAUCACAUACAGUAUGUACAUUGAUAAAACGAUACAUGAAGAUAUGAUGGAUGAACGGAGUUAAACAAAACAGUGCUUCAGUACAACCAAAAUAACUGAAAAUGCAUAGGUGUUGAUAUGAACAGUAUAACAUCCAUUCAUGUCCUUUAUGUGCGAGACAUUGCAGGUGCCAGUCAGUUGUGAUGUGGUCCUGUCUGUAGUUGUUGUUGUGGUUACCUAUGUUCCCCAGGAGGCCGUUGGUCACAGUGUUCUGAUCAGGCCUCAAAGAAUUGGGGUCCUGACCCAUGAACUCCAGGCUGUCCUGCAGUCUGCCAGGAGCACAAAGACAACAGCAGAGGUUCAAAUGGUAUCGGGAGAGACUGAGAUCAAGAGUAUAAAGGGAAGAAAGAGCAGGUUUAGAAAGGAGAAAGCGAGAGAGAUCGCAUCGUAGUAGGGUUUACGUGUUAAGGCUGCCAUAGACACUACUCCCAGUUCGGGCUGUAAACACUUUACUCAGCAUCAGCUGAGGGGGGGACCUGUGGACAGACAAGGAGGGGAGAAAAAGAGAGGGGAGGAGAAAGAACAUAUUCACGAUGACUUGGUGCUCCUGAUGUGCGUUAUGUACAGUGCCUUGCGAAAGUAUUCGGCCCCCUUGAACUUUGCGACCUUUUGCCACAUUUCAGGCUUCAAACAUAAAGAUAUAAAACUGUAUUUUUUUGUUUAGAAUCAUCAACAAGUGGGACACAAUCAUGAAGUGGAAUGACAUUUAUUGGAUAUUUCAAACUUUUUUAACAAAUCAAAAACUGAAAAAUUGGUUGUGUAAAAUUAUUCAGCCCCCUUAAGUUAAUACUUUGUAGCGCCACCUUUUGCUGCGAUUACAGCUGUAAGUCGCUUGGGGUAUGUCUCUAUCAGUUUUGCACAUCGAGAGACUGACAUUUUUUCCCAUUCCUCCUUGCAAAACAGCUCGAGCUCAGUGAGGUUGGAUGGAGAGCAUUUGUGAACAGCAGUUUUCAGUUCUUUCCACAGAUUCUCGAUUGGAUUCAGGUCUGGACUUUGACUUGGCCAUUCUAACACCUGGAUAUGUUUAUUUUUGAACCAUUCCAUUGUAGAUUUUGCUUUAUGUUUUGGAUCAUUGUCUUGUUGGAAGACAAAUCUCCGUCCCAGUCUCAGGUCUUUUGCAGACUCCAUCAGGUUUUCUUCCAGAAUGGUCCUGUAUUUGGCUCCAUCCAUCUUCCCAUCAAUUUUAACCAUCUUCCCUGUCCCUGCUGAAGAAAAGCAGGCCCAAACCAUGAUGCUGCCACCACCAUGUUUGACAGUGGGGAUGGUGUGUUCAGCUGUGUUGCUUUUACGCCAAACAUAAAGUUCAAUUUUGGUUUCAUCUGACCAGAGCACCUUCUUCCACAUGUUUGGUGUGUCUCCCAUGUGGCUUGUGGCAAACUUUAAACAACACUUUUUAUGGAUAUCUUUAAGAAAUGGCUUUCUUCUUGCCACUCUUCCAUAAAGGCCAGAUUUGUGCAAUAUACGACUGAUUGUUGUCCUAUGGACAGAGUCUCCCACCUCAGCUGUAGAUCUCUGCAGUUCAUCCAGAGUGAUCAUGGGCCUCUUGGCUGCAUCUCUGAUCAGUCUUCUCCUUGUAUGAGCUGAAAGUUUAGAGGGACGGCCAGGUCUUGGUAGAUUUGCAGUGGUCUGAUACUCCUUCCAUUUCAAUAGUAUCGCUUGCACAGUGUUCCUUGGGAUGUUUAAAGCUUGGUAAAUCUUUUUGUAUCCAAAUCCGGCUUUAAACUUCUUCACAACAGUAUCUCGGACCUGCCUGGUGUGUUCCUUGUUCUUCAUGAUGCUCUCUGCGCUUUUAACGGACCUCUGAGACUAUCACAGUACAGGUGCAUUUAUACGGAGACUUGAUUACACACAGGUGGAUUGUAUUUAUCAUCAUUAGUCAUUUAGGUCAACAUUGGAUCAUUCAGAGAUCCUCACUGAACUUCUGGAGAGAGUUUGCUGCACUGAAAGUAAAGGGGCUGAAUAAUUUUGCACGUCCAAUAUUUCAGUUUUUGAUUUGUUAAAAAAGUUUGAAAUAUCCAAUAAAUGUCAUUCCACUUCAUGAUUGUGUCCCACUUGUUGUUGAUUCUUCACAAGAAAAUACAGUUGUAUAUCUUUAUGUUUGAAGCCUGAAAUAUGGCAAAAGGUCGCAAAGUUCAAGGGGGCCGAAUACUUUCGCAAGGCACUGUAUAUUUCUCUGAUCUCUGCUUCAAAGUGCUGUGUGGGACAGACUGUAGCGUUUCCGUUAGGAAAAUGUGACGCUGGACAUUUGACCCGCAGCAUUAUAAUUUUACCGGACAUUGAAGAAAUGUACCGGGCCCAUAUGCAUUGGGUACAUUAACUGAUUAGGGCGUCCACCCACGGUGCUCAGGAUGACAGAAAUCAGAUUUAGCUUAUGGUAAUUAAUCUUAACAGAACAUUCAAUUUGAGGAUGCAACAGCGUUUUUCUCAGCCAAUAAGACAAGUAACAAACAGCUAAUUCACUAGCCUAUGUCAAUCUACUUUCCCCGAUAGCAGAAAAAUUGACCUAUUCUACUGGUCACCUUGUCGUUCUGUGCGAGAAAGAAAAAGCCUAUUCCAAACAGACUUUGGGACAGUUGUGGGACGAUAGAUCCCAAAUUCAUACAACCAGUAGGCCUGGAUACAUCCCAAAAAACAUUACAAAGCAAUGAGGCUCAUGCAACAGAUCAGAACCUUUAAAUUCUGAAUAUUUGUUCCAUAAUGCAUUUAGCGGGAAAACACUUGUCAAAAGCACACCGCACACGCGAGCGGUUUCAUGAAAACAGAUGAAAAUAUCAAUUUCAAAUUUAGAAAGAGGGGAGUAUUAAAGAUGCAACUACUAGCAUUGUCAUGUACUGUCAUGUUGUCUUGUCUCUGUCCUUUCCCUUCACCCUGUCUCCCUCUGCUGGUCGUGUUAGGUUACCUUUUCUCCCCCGCUUUCCCCCAGCUGUCCCUUGUCUCCUCUAACUACCCAUUCACCCCGUUCCCCACCUGUUCCCUUUUUUCCCUCUGAUUAGGUCCCUAUAUCUCUCUCUGUUUCUGCUCCUGUCCUUGUCGGAUUCUUGUUUGUUUGUGUCAUUCAUGCCUGAACCAGACUGUCGUCAUGUUUGCUGUAACCUUGUCCUGUCCUGUCGGAAUCUGCCGGUCCAUCUGAGCCUACCUAUGUUUGGUAAUUAAAGAAGCUCUGUUUAAGUUGAUUCGCUUUUGGGUCCUCAUUCACGCACCGUAACAGAAGAAUCCGACCAAGAAUGGACCCAGCGACUUCGGAUCCUCUCCACUCAGCCGUCGAGAUCCAGGGAGCGAUGCUAGGCAGACACAA